rnacentral:rRNA from 1 species
CGUAGGGGGCAAGCGUUGUCCGGAUUUACUGGGCGUAAAGAGCGCGUAGGCGGAGAUCUAAGCGUGGCCUGAAAGCCCCCGGCUCAACCGGGGAGUGCGGCUGCGAACUGGGUUUCUCGAGGACGAUAGAGGAGAGUGGAAUUCCUGGUGUAGCGGUGAAAUGCGUAGAUAUCAGGAGGAACACCCGAGGCGAAGGCGGCUCUCUGGGUCGUACCUGACGCUGAGGCGCGAAAGCGUGGGGAGCGAACGGGAUUAGAUACCCCGGUAGUCCACGCCGUAAACGAUGGUCACUAGGUGUGUGUGGUAUCGACCCCGCACGUGCCGCAGCUAACGCAAUAAGUGACCCGCCUGGGGAGUACGGCCGCAAGGUUG